UGUGUGUGUGUGUGUGUGUGUGUGUCAGGGCUACUUAUGGUGGUGAUUUGUGUGUUAUUGUUUUAUUUGGCUGGUGGUCGUCUAGAAAUACCAGUCCAGUCUUCAACAGAACCAACCCAAACCACAACACACACUAUAAACAGACAGACUCUCUGUGGACUGACAGACAGCCACCAUUGAUAGACAGACAGAUGGGCACCGUGGAGAGACAACCUGGGGAAGAAUGUGGUGUCUUUGAGUCCACCAUGUGCAAGGAGAAGACUGAGAAUGCUGUGGAGGCUCAGCCGGACUACUCUCCGCUGUCGUGGAGGGGGUACUUUGACCAGAUGGAGGAUGUGGUGGUGGGAGCGGCGGACAGCAGUGACUCCUUCAGGGUGUACAAGGCCGGCACCGGGGGUCCCGUGCUGGUCCUGCUGCAUGGAGGGGGGCACUCUGCCCUGUCCUGGGCUGUCUGCACCACCGCCAUAAGCAGCAGGGUGAGCUGCAGGGUGUUGGCCAUGGACCUGCGGGGUCACGGUGCCACCCAAGUUCAAUGUGAUGACUUCUCAACUCAAACUAUGUCCAGGGAUGUGGCAAAUGUUGUGCAAGCUUGCUAUGGGGAGACUCCGCCCCCAAUGGUGCUGAUUGGGCACGGGGUGGGCGGGGCCAUCGCGGUCCACGCAGCCAGUAGCAUGCUGCUGCCCACCAUCGUAGGCCUGGUCGCCAUUGACGUCGUGGAGGGUAGUGCAAUGGAGGUGCUACACAGCAUGCAGAACUUCCUGAGGGGCCGACCAAAGUCCUUCAAGUCCAUGGUACAUGCCAUUGAAUGGAGCGUGAAGAGCGGUCAGAUCCAGAACCUGGAGUCUGCCAGAGUCUCAGUGGUUGGACAGAUCAAAAAGUGUGAGGUGGACAAAGAUGUUCUGCUGGAGCCAGCCAGUCUGGUGGUAGAUGUGGCUGUCGAGGGCAACGAGGAAUUCCAUGAACAGCACCAACUCAACGAUAAAGAGAAUACCACACCAGAGAGGAGCAUCUCAGACAACCAGAGUGUGUAUAACUGGCGCAUAGAUCUCUCCAAGGCUGAGAAGUACUGGGAUGGCUGGUUCAGAGGGACCUCCAACCUCUUCCUGAGCUGCAACCUGCCCAAACUGCUGUUACUGGCUGGGGUGGAUCGUCUUGACAGAGAUUUGACCAUCGCACAAAUGCAAGGUAAAUUCAUGAUGCAGCUGCUGCCCCCUUGUGGCCAUGCAGUGCAAGAAGACCACCCCGACAAGGUUGCUGAUGCUAUAACCAGUUUUCUUUUGAGACAUAAGUUUGCAGAGUCCAGAGAAGAUAACCAGAGGUCAGGGACAUGCAAAACACACACACUCACACACUAUCUCCUCUAUGACACUAACAGUUCAUGAUGCUUGCUAAGCUGGAUUGAACUCUGAUCUGUCUCCCUCUCUAGCUCUCCAUUGCCCUUUACACAGUGAAGACUGAAAUACUAUCCUCUAGACCAGAGGGCUGCCCUCAAGUGCUUCUCAACUAUACUUAACCUAGAAGACGUUUCCCUAGAAGAAGAGCAGAAGUUUGUGGUUCCAUUUUAUUCAUUUCGUGGAAAUCAACUUCACUGGGCUGAAAUGUCCUGCGUUCAAGACAAUCUGUGUCCCUGUAUUAAGAUGUGGCUUUGAAUCGCUUUGAUUAAACCAGUCUCACCUCUU